GGAAGUAAAGGUCGUAACAAGGUUUCCGUAGGUGAACCUGCGGAAGGAUCAUUCAUAAUAAAGUGUUUUAUGGCACUUUUUAAAAAUCCAUAUCCACCUUGUGUGCAAUGUUAGAUCUCGUCAAUCUUGGCGAGAUUUUUAUACAUCAACUCAUUCUUUAACUAAUUUGUCUGAAAAAUAUUAUGAAUACUUAAUUCAAAAUACAACUUUCAACAACGGAUCUCUAGGCUCUC
rnacentral:misc_RNA from 1 species